CUGAACGAAAAUAAACAAGUCUGGAAAUGUAUAUAUAAAUAAAAUUGAAAUAUGAGGAGUAAUCAGGUCCUACAAAUGUCAAGCAUCUACCUCCAAAACUCUAUGUAAACUAACUAAAUGAAAUUUAUGAAACAAAAACUUAAUUAUGUUUAAAUGCAUUAAAAGAAAUAAAGGAAAACACAGAAAUGCAUUUCACAAAAUAAAAAAAGAGACAUGAGGAAAAGGAAAACGAAAUGGUGAACAGGCGGAAAGAAUUGAACUCAGAGGUUCAUCCAAUUAUUAUGAAAACUGAGUUAAAGAAAGAGAAAUAAGAAGAUAAUAGGAUAAUGAUAUAAAUAAAACACAAAAAGGAAAACAACUUACCAUAUCGAACCUCGAAACCAGUCGGAGACGAAAGGCCUAACGAAACUUAUGUCGACCCUUUGUUCUUUGUCAAGAAUAACUGAAUCGACAUCAGAUUGGUCGAGUAUAGACCUAAAUGUUUGAGAGAAUAGCAUCCUCUGGUCUUGCACCCUACCAGACUCGAAAACAAAUGACUUCGAACUUUUGAAGGUCAAAUUAUGAUUCAAGAUUCGAAGGGUUUGGAAUUGAUCCGACGAAAAAGGAUUUGGUAUUUGGGAUGGGGAGGUGGAGAUGGUUCCAAGGUGUAGCUAUUUG
rnacentral:lncRNA from 1 species